rnacentral:rRNA from 1 species
UACGGAGGUGCAAGCGUUGUCCGGAUUUAUGGUUUGAAAGGGUGCGUAGGCGGCCCGUUAAGUCAGUGGUGAAAGCCUCCAGCUACAACUGGAGAACUGCCAUUGAUACUGACGGGCUUGAGUACAGACGAGGUUGGCGGAAUUGAUUGUGUAGCGGUAGAAAUGCAUAGAUACAAUCAAGAACUCCGGAUUGCGUAGGCAGCUAACUAGGCUGUAACUGACGCUGAGGCAACGAAAGGCGUGGGGAGCGAACAGG